rnacentral:lncRNA from 7 species
GCUAAGUCUGGUGGGUGUUGGAAAAGCCACUUUGUCUUCACCAAGGCAGAGAACAUCUGGAGGAGCUUUUUGGAUAACACCACUAGGCUUGGAAAGGAGAAUUUCACAAAGAACUAGUCUCUGGAUGGAUGCUGAAGGGAGCGGGGAGGGGAGUUCUCUCCAACAUCCUUUGUGCAAUAACCAUGGAUGCCAGGGGAAUAUGUUGAGGAAGCAAUCACAAAGGCUUGCAUAUUCCGUAAAUAGCAUCUCCUUCAGCCACUGUUGGAGAAAGGAUAUUGGGCUAAAUGAACCGCUGAUCUAAUCACUGAGUCUUGUGUUCUUCAAGCAGUCAUCUGUCCUUCCCGGGGUAUAAAUCAGAGUCCUGGAAAGUAAUUAUUGCUUUAAAAAGGUUGGAUGUGCCCUCUGUGUCUAUCUGGUAUCCCAGUACAACUGCAUCUCCAGCUGAGACCCUGGCAGACCUUGCAGCCAGAUGCAAUGCUGACUGAACUGAAAGAAAGCAUCUCAAGUCAAUCCAGCUUGCAUUCUGCUGUGUCUCACCUUUUUGUCAUAAUCUAUUCAUUAAUUCAUCCUCUUUAUUGUGAUAGAGCUCUCACUGUUGCCUAUAGGUCUUAUAACUAUCAUAAUUCACACUGACGCCCGGUACCCAAAUGGUUAAAUGCAUUUGGCUUUGCUGUCCUCCUCAGUCCCUGUAGAUUGUGUUGCAAGAAUUGAAUGAAAUUGAUAGAGCUAGCAUUACAGUGAGCAAAACCCCCUGAAGAAAGAGUAGAUGGGUGGAUAGAGAGAAUGACCCCAAAGAAAACAGCUGUCAAGGGCAGCUAUUGGUUUAUCUUUCAUGGAAAGAGAGACGUAAUGAAUUCUAAAUUAAGAGAAACUAGAGGCAAGGCUGUUUAUCAGCUCUCUGCUGCAGCAUAAACAGGCACUUUAGAAGUAUCGACUGCAGUCUCACUUAAUGUACCAGGUACAUUUCCUCAGUGCCUGGGAACGCCAUGCGGCCAUCAAGUUGGACGAAAGCUGUGAUAUCUAAAAUACAUUAGGUCAGGGGAAGAGCUGUUCUGCGUGUUGGUCUCUUUUCAAAGGGUCUUUGACUAGAGACCACUUCUGAUUCUAAACUAAAAGAGCAGUAUGUACACUGGGAGACCAAAGAGCCUUUUGCUUAAGAAAGCUAUAAGGUGCAAAAGUAGGAAAAGUCCACAGGAAAAACACUGUGUAAGGGUCUCUUUGCAAGUGGUGAUGUUGAGAACAAAACAGCCCCCGGGUUCAAUAUACUACAAGAAAUGUCAAAGAAAAUGUUAUCCCAUCAUCUUAUCUGUAUACAUCACGAGAAUAAUUGCCUCUUUGUGACCCCCUGUUCAGACUCGAGCAGUGUAUUUAUCAACUGACCAUGUGGGGUGGUAAGCCAUCUGACAGCUGACUCCAAAUGAGAUAAUAAGGCUGACUGAUGGGUUGUUCUUGCUAUUCCCGACUUCAUGUUCCACUCCCCUAACUCCGUAGCCUGGCUCUGAGAUGCAGUCUGAAACGUUAUGUCAAUCCAAAGAGGCUGGCAUAAGAGAUUUUGUGCUGCUUAAGUCCACCUCUAACUUAGAGGACUCUACAAAACAUCCUAACCUAGCCAAAUAGCCUGUUGAUUUUCUGGCUUUCCGUACCACCAUUAUUUAGCUGCAGCUUUUUGCAGGGAGGUGAGCGCUAAAUACUGAGCAACGAAGUCAAAGGCAACACAGUUGGGUCCUUUGCUCCUUCAUCAACACCACUUUCCCUUAGCUUAUGUGUUUGAGGAUGGAUUUGUCUCGAUGUGUCAGCUUAAUGUGGUCAAAACCCAGAUGCCAAGGAUGAAUAUAACUCAUCACGUUACCUCCUCAUGAAAGCAAUCCUCACCAUCCUCUGAGGUGCGCUGACUCUUAUCCUUUCUCAGCCACAUGCUCUUUUGUCACUUUUGCUCAUUUUCAUGUCUUUAAUUAAAAGAAAAGGCCUUCCCAAUGGAAGAUUAAUUAGGACAAAUGUGCUGCCAUUAAUAUCUGCCAUGCUUGGAAGGAGAUGAUUCACCCUGUGAUUAAAGCCAAACGGAAUCUGGAAUCUGAGGAGUAAUUAGCCCUCAGCGGCUCGUAAGUCUGAAGAAAGCACUAUUUAUCAGUGGUGGUGCUAAUGCAAUUACUUCUCCACUGCAGCCUCCUGGACUGAUAAAUCAUAGCCUGAGCAUUUGGAGGAGCUAUCAAUUUGGGAUUUUGCUUCUCUGAGUCUACAAAGAGAAAAAGAGGGGAAACGAAGAGGCAAUCAGCUCCUCAAUGUCUUUAAUUGUAUCAAAACUAUGGAGGCUGAUGAAAUCUGAGCACCUCUUCUGAAUCCAUUUUCUCACUUGACAGAAAACUGAGAGUUAGCGGUCACUGCAGCU